UGCCUAUACAUGCAAGUUGAGCGCUGNAAGGUUGGUACUUGUACCAACUGGNAUGAGCAGCGAACGGGUGNAGUAACGCGUGGGGAAUCUGCCUUUGAGCGGGGGACAACAUUUGGAAACGAAUGCUAAUACCGCAUAAAAACUUUAAACACAAGUUUUAAGUUUGAAAGAUGCAAUUGCAUCACUCAAAGAUGAUCCCGCGUUGUAUUAGCUAGUUGGUGAGGUAAAGGCUCACCAAGGCGAUGAUACAUAGCCGACCUGAGAGGGUGAUCGGCCACU
rnacentral:rRNA from 1 species